GUUCUCAAAUGAUGGGUCACACUACAAAAAUGAGUCGCAGGCCUAUAGAUAGAUGGAUGGAUGGAUGGAUGGAUGGAUGGAUGGAUAGAUAAAUGGAUGGAUGGAUGGAUAAAUGGAUGGAUGGAUGGAUGGAUGGAUGGAUAAAUGGAUGGAUGGAUGGAUGGAUGGAUAAAUGGAUGGAUGGAUGGAUGGAUGGAUAAAUGGAUGGAUAAAUGGAUGGAUGGAUGGAUAGAUGGAUGGAUGGAUAAAUGGAUGGAUGGAUAAAUGGAUGGAUAAAUGGAUGGAUGGAUGGAUGGAUGGAUGGAUAGAUAGAUAAAUGGAUGGAUGGAUGGAUAAAUGGAUGGAUGGAUGGAUAAAUGGAUGGAUGGAU